AUGAUUCGUGCUGGUCCUUUGCGUGUUCCUGAGAGGAUGCCCACACCUGCAGUUUUGCCAGAGCUCCCUCCUGCCUGGCGGUGCCGCUCUCCGAGGGCUGCUUUUGGUGAAACCGAGUCUCAGCGUCCUGCUCCUGCUCCUGUCCUGGAGCACCAGCUCCAGACGAAGCCCCGCUCCCUGUGCUGGCAGCCGUCCUCCCCCCUGCUGGCACCCCGGGGGCACCCAGCCGUGCAGAGCAGCCCCUGGGGAGGGGGCUGGGGUGCAGGGGCUGCGGCUGUGUCUGGCGCAGGGGGCAGCCUCCGGGGAGGUGGGCUCGUGCCUCCGCUGCCGGCAGCCGUGCAGCACUUCGGAGGUUGGUGCUUCUCUGCCCGCUUUUCCCAAAGGAGAAACAGCAGUGAAGAUGGACAGGAAAGCUUUCUAGAGAAGAGAGCACCGAUCGCUUCUCUGGCGUGUGCUGUCCUGACAGUAAUUGCCUAUUAAUAUUCCCUUUCUCAUGCCUCUUCUCCUCCUUCCGUCAAGCGAUGUGGCUUCAUUUCCCGGCGCUGCUUGCUGUGGUGUCAAUGCCGGAGCACGGUGUGCGGUGCUGGGUCACCUCCUAGAGUGGAAGGGGCACCAGGGCCACAGCCUGUGACCUUCCUGCAGCUGCUGGGCACCGCCGCCCGAGGGGGACCCGGGGUGGGGGGUCUCUCAGCAGUGCACCCAAACCUGCUGCCCCUUAUUUAGGGCUUGGCUGCUGGUACCUUGAUUAAAGGGAUGGAGCUCUGCAUGCCUGGUGCUCCCACCUUCGGAGGUGUCGUCCUGGACCCUUGCCACUGCAAUUAGCGGGGACAGUCUGUGCCAGGCUCCGGUGGGUAUGGGGCAGGCUGGCUGGAGCAGGACCCCCUUAUGUGUGGGCCGAAACUGUGUGCCACCAAAGCAGGGUUCCUAAACUGCAGCAGAUCCUGCCCUGUGGAAGCUGCAGGAGCUCGGGAUGUGCCCAUAACAUGGCUUAGACAGCCUAAUGCAAAAAGGUAACAGCGGGGAAAGUGGAAACCUGUAAAAUCUUUGAGCCAUGUUAUUUGCUAAGCUGAUAAAAGGUAGAGUGCAUAAAUUCACGAAGAGGGGAAAUCCCUGCAGUAUUCACAUGGGCUGCUCUUGGUUUCAUAGUUAAGUAAAUAUAGUUCAGAAUAAGAACAGUUUAAAAGGAAUUUGAGAACAUAAUGAAGCUCAGAGAAUUAGCUGAAGAGCUUUCAUUUGAGAUUACAAAAACACAGUGUAAUAUAAUGUUUAAAUACCAAUGGGCUUCAGCAUUACAUAAAAUAACCAAACACAGAUAAGACCACUCUUCUGUCCUGGCCUCAGCUGGUAAUCUUAUUACUGAAUUAGUAUAACCACGUACUUCGUGAUCACUGUAUUUUCCCUAAUUUGACAGGCUAGUUGAAGGAAUAACAUGUCAGAACAGGAGCACGUGUUGAUUUUGAAGCUUGCCAUGCUGCAAAGU
rnacentral:lncRNA from 1 species